UACGUAGGGUGCAAGCGUUAAUCGGAAUUACUGGGCGUAAAGCGUGCGCAGGCGGUUAUGCAAGACAGAUGUGAAAUCCCCGGGCUUAACCUGGGAACUGCAUUUGUGACUGCAUAGCUAGAGUACGGUAGAGGGGGAUGGAAUUCCGCGUGUAGCAGUGAAAUGCGUAGAGAUCGGGAGGAACAUCAGUUGCGAAGGCGGCUCUCUGGACCAGUACUGACGCUGAGGCACGAAAGCGUGGGGAAGCAAACA
rnacentral:rRNA from 1 species